ensembl:lncRNA
GAUUCAUUACCACUUAUUUAUAUUUGAAAUCUUUUUUUCCACAAACAUGUUUGUUUUUCCCACAAGUUUGGCUCAUUGAAAUGCUUUGCGUUAAUUUUAACUGUUAAAAUGAGUGUCAAAAUCAGUCAGUGUGUUUUGGAGGAUGGAAGAUUAAUUUGCCACAUGCAAUUCUGAUGUAUCAUUUCUCUCUCUCUCACUCACUCUCCCUCUCUCUCUCACGCCACAACAAUUAAUAGGAUUUUACGGCAUAACGGGAUUGGGGUUUAUGUUCUUUAUCUCAGGCGAUACAAUAGCUGUAAAUAUGAAUUUAAGAGAUCAAACAAAUUUAGCUUCAUUGUAAAGGAGCUUAUGGUGGGGCUGGGGGGAAAAAAACUAAAAAACAAAAAAGCAGAGGAGGCACACCGAAAGGGGACUCUGUCACUCGGCUCCCCAGUGAGGAGGCUUCAGAUUGGGGCGACUCUGCUGACAGAGCCCUACCUCUGGAGCCAGUGAUGGCAGCUCCAGUCGUAGCAACCUCCCUCUGUUGCGUUGUUUGUUGUGUAAUUUCAGCUUCUUCACUGGCAGCAGUUUGGUUCCACGCGGCCUGCGUUAGCCCUUUUUUUUUCUUUUCGUUAGACUUUCUUUUUCGCGCUAACCCUCUCUCUCUGUCUCUCUCUCUCUCUCUCUCUCUUCUCUCUCUCUCUAUCUCUCUCUCUCUCGUGUGGGCAUGGGCCGAGAUUAUCUACAGCUGCCACGCUGUUCGUGUGCCAGUGUGCAGUGCUGGCAUUUGUGCUAAAACCAAACUACGGGCGCAGCCAGCUCCGGGAUCCAGGCGGCGGCGGCCAGUGAUAGAUCAGCUGACUGAGCGACUGCAGCCAGUAGGGUUUUCGCUCAGUUUAUGUGGCUCACAUUUGCACUAACAUGUGGUUUCCUCCGCCAUACUGCUCAUUACGAGAAACAACAACUUUCUCUUUUUUUUUUUACUGCGGAGUAAUUACUGCCCCGGCGAACGGUGGAAUGCAGUGGUUUCCUGUUGUUGUUUUUUUAUUUAUUUAUUAUUGUUGCUUGAUGUCACCGUGUCAGAUAUGACUCAGUGGUCCAGCCGUGACAUGCUCUUGCUAUCAGUGACGGUCAAAUCUUCCAGCAGCAGCUGAUCGUGAUAGUCAUGGCAAAUUUGGUGGCAUACUGUGUGAAAUCUCAGUCUUUAUGGUUGACUUCACUGCCAGGGCGUUUGGAUGGAGGACCCUGUGCCAGUAUACCCCUCUGUGUUUAUUUCAAGUCACAUCAGAUUAACACCACUUGGACUCACAUCACGCCUAUCCUCCUCUC